rnacentral:rRNA from 1 species
GUGCCAGCAGCCGCGGUAACACCAGCUGCACAAGUGUAUAUUAAAGUUGUUGCAGUUAAAAAGCUCGUAGUUGGAUAUCUGUCUCGACUGACCUAGCCCUGCGCCCUCGGGUUGCGGUGUGCUGGUUGCGUUCACCUCGGUGAGCCGUCAUGUCGGACAUCCUUCAGGAGAACUGUCCUGCCAUUGAUUUGGUUGGGGCAAGGAUCCUGAUCGUUUACUUCGAAAAAACUUAGAGUGUUUAAUGCAGGCUUCGUGUCGCGAAUAGAUUAGCAUGGAAUAAUAAGAUAGGACUUCGGCAUCGUAUGUGGGUGCCGUUGACAAAUGUUUGCGGCUGCUUUUCGGAGUGGCUGCUUGCAGGCGUCUUCGGGUC